rnacentral:misc_RNA from 1 species
GUCAUCCUCAGAGCGGUGUUGGCCCGGGGCCUUCAGUGGCCUUUGUGUCUGGGUGAGAGGAACCCUGGAUGGCCACUCUGCCCUGAGUGUGUGGGUCCCCAGAAGUGCUGGGUUAGGGGGCACGGAGGGCCAGAAAGUCCCCUUUGGAGCGCUGGACUCUCUCGCUGACUCCUACCCCACCCCGGCCUGGGGUUUCAGAGAAGGGGUCCAGGCAGGAGUGUCAUCUUUUCUCAAUGGGGAUGUGGCUUCAGUCUCUGUCCAGGUGGUUGGGAUGUAUACAAAAGUGGCGGUCAACAUGGAGUUGGUGGUGCUGCUACAAUUGUUUUGUUCAAGAUACACAGGAAUUCUG